rnacentral:rRNA from 1 species
UGGGGAAUAUUGCACAAUGGGGGAAACCCUGAUGCAGCGACGCCGCGUGAGUGAGGAAGUAUUUCGGUAUGUAAAGCUCUAUCAGCAGGGAAGAAAGAAAUGACGGUACCUGACUAAGAAGCCCCGGCUAACUACGUGCCAGCAGCCGCGGUAAUACGUAGGGGGCAAGCGUUAUCCGGAUUUACUGGGUGUAAAGGGUGCGUAGGUGGCAUGGUAAGUCAGAUGUGAAAACCCGGGGCUCAACCCCGCGGAUUGCAUUUGAAACUAUCAGGCUAGAGUGCAGGAGAGGAAAGCGGAAUUCCUAGUGUAGCGGUGAAAUGCGUAGAUAUUAGGAGGAACACCAGUGGCGAAGGCGGCUUUCUGGACUGUCACUGACACUGAGGCACGAAAGCGUGGGGAGCAAACAGG